GGAAUACCUUCCCGUAGGUGAACCUGCGGAAGGAUCAUUA
rnacentral:rRNA from 1 species